AGGCUGCAGCGCUGGCCCGGUCCGGCCCUGUCAGCGCAAGCCAUGAAGCCGCCCAGCAGCAGUGCCCGCGGCCGCCGCUCGGGGCAGCUGGUGCCCGUGCUCUGGAGCUGCAGCUGCCCCAGGAGUGGUGCAAUGCCACGUCAGUACAAUCGAGGGGGUCAGCACAAUUGAGGUCUUGGAACACGUCCCUACUUGUUACAUUGUAAAGUGGGUUCCCUUUAUGCCAAUUUGAGUUGCAUGCUGGUUUCCA